rnacentral:tRNA from 1 species
GACAGAGUUGCCUAGUGGAUACAGCACUGGACUGGGACUCAGAAAACCUGGGUUCUAUUCCUAGCUCUGCCA